rnacentral:hammerhead_ribozyme from 1 species
GCACUACUGAGGAGUCCCACAAUAGGACGGAACGACUGUCCAGUGC